rnacentral:rRNA from 1 species
UACAGAGGGUGCAAGCGUUGUUCGGAAUUAUUGGGCGUAAAGGGCGCGUAGGCGGUGCGGUAAGUCUGCGGUGAAAUCUCCCGGCUCAACUGGGAGGCUGCCGUGGAAACUGCCGUGCUUGAGUGUGGGAGAGGUGAGUGGAAUUCCCGGUGUAGCGGUGAAAUGCGUAGAUAUCGGGGAGGAACACCUGUGGCGAAAGCGGCUCACUGGACCACAACUGACGCUGAGGCGCGAAAGCUAGGGGAGCAAACAGGG